ensembl:lncRNA
GUCAGUAGUGAUGAAGCUAGAAGUUGUGUUUAGUUCUGUGUGAUCCCAAAUCCCCAUUUUCAGACUAUGAACCCUACCCACAUUGCAUUUUCAUCAUGUUCAAAGGGUGUGUGUUAUUGUUUACUUCAUCCAUGUCAAGUGUAAGACGAAAUUAUAUUUCAGUUUUAUUUUUAGCUCAUCUACCAUUUCACCUUACUUAUGUCACUGCUCCUUUCUACUUUUGAAAGUAACGGAGGUCACAAAACCAUCAGGUGAAGGAUGACCUCCAGGUGUCCAGCAGAAAGGAGCCACCUUACCUUUGAAGACAAGUGACCAGGAAGAAUUCUAACAAAUUUGGAGGUGGGAAGUCCAAGAUCCAGGUGUUGGAAGCUACGCUUCUUAGGCUAUCUCAUCAACUGAUUUCCAGGUAGAUUUGGCUAAAGAAGGCAUUGGAAACCUUCGAGUGGGAAAACAACUGUUCACCUGCAUGGCAAUUUUGGCUGCAGCUGAGUCUCUUCUAUUCCUAGAGGUUCAGAGAGACAGCUAUUUUCCGCAUGACCCCAGAUCCUGUCGGAUAACUUCAACCUUGCUUCUGGUCCUAGAUUCUGGAU